rnacentral:rRNA from 1 species
AAUAAACGCUGGCGGCGUGCCUAACACAUGCAAGUCGAGCGAGAAAGCUCCUUCGGGAGUGAGUACAGCGGCGAACGGGUGAGCAACGCGUGGGAAUCUACCAUUCAGUGAAGAAUACCCUUGAGAAAUCGAGGUUAAUACUGCAUACGUCCUGUAAAGGAGAAAGAUGGCCUGUUUGCUGUCGUUGAAGGAUGAGCCUGCGUACUAUUAGCUAGUUGGUAGGGUAACGGCCUACCAAGGCGAUGAUGGUUAACCGGCCUGAGAGGACGAUCAGACACGCUGGAACUGAGACACGGUCCAGACUCCUACGGGAGGCAGCAGUGGGGAAUUUUGGACAAUGGGCGAAAGCCUGAUCCAGCCAUUCCGCGUGCAGGAUGAAGGCCCUCGGGUUGUAAACUGCUUUUGUACAGAACGAAAAGGUUUCUACUAAUACUAGGAGCUCAUGACGGUACUGUAAGAAUAAGCACCGGCUAACUACGUGCCAGCCGCCGCAGUAA